GGGAAUUUUUCGCAAUGGGGGAAACCCUGACGAAGCAACGCCGCGUGGAGGAUGAAGGCCUUCGGGUCGUAAACUCCUGUCGACCGGGAAGAAUGCACCUGACCUAAUACGUCAAAGUGUUGACUGUACCGGUGGAGGAAGCCACGGCUAACUCUGUGCCAGCAGCCGCGGUAAUACAGAGGUGGCAAGCGUUGUUCGGAAUUACUGGGCGUAAAGGGCGCGUAGGCGGCCCGCCAAGUCCCGUGUGAAAGCCCCCGGCUCAACCGGGGAACGGCGCGGGAAACUAGCAGGCUUGAGUUCGGGAGAGGGAAGCGGAAUUCCGGGUGUAGCGGUGAAAUGCGCAGAUAUCCGGAGGAACACCGGUGGCGAAGGCGGCUUCCUGGACCGACACUGACGCUGAGGCGCGAAAGCUAGGGGAGCAAACGGGAUUAGA
rnacentral:rRNA from 1 species